AUUGAACGCUGGCGGCAUGCCUUACACAUGCAAGUCGAACGGUAACGGGCCUUCGGGUGCCGACGAGUGGCGAACGGGUGAGUAAUGCAUCGGAACGUACCUUUCAGUGGGGGAUAACGUAGCGAAAGUUACGCUAAUACCGCAUAUUCUGUGAGCAGGAAAGCAGGGGAUCGCAAGACCUUGCGCUGAUUGAGCGGCCGAUGUCAGAUUAGCUAGUUGGUGAGGUAAAGGCUCACCAAGGCGACGAUCUGUAGCGGGUCUGAGAGGAUGAUCCGCCACACUGGAACUGAGACACGGUCCAGACUCCUACGGGAGGCAGCAGUGGGGAAUUUUGGACAAUGGGGGCAACCCUGAUGCAGCGACGCCGCGUGGGGGAUGACGGCCUUCGGUUGUAACCGUCUUUCUAGCAGGACGAAGGGUGACUGACGGUACUCGUAGAAGAAGCACCGGCCAACUACGUCGCCAGCAGCCGCGGUAACGAUAGCGUACU
rnacentral:rRNA from 1 species